CCUUCUAUCCCUCUCUCUCUCCUCCCUCCUUCUAUCCCUCUCUCUCUCCUCCCUCUCUCUGUUUUCUCAGUCUAUGUCCUUAAAAGCAUAGCCAUCCUUCUCUCAUUGGUUGCUGUAAUGUAAACAUGGCCGUUGUCGGAGCACACUGAGGUGAGUACAAGCAGAACUCAACUAAAUCAUCCAGAUCAUCUCAACUGGAAACAGGUUGAUCAAACUGGAACAGAAACUACCUGUGCCUCGUCUGAAGGUAGAGAGAAUAUCAGGGGCAGUUCUUAGUUCAGAGAGUUGUCUACCCUGUUGCAGAAGGGUUAUCGCUGUCGCCAUGGAGAGCCCUUAUCCAAUAAAGUAUCUUUGGGAGCCGCCGUUGCUAUGGGAAUUAUCGGAUCCUAGUGCGGAAUGGGGAGAGGUUUGUUAUUGUUUUUUGAUGGAAAGUGUUUAAGUGCAGGCCUGUGCAAAAGUCUUCAGCAGGAAUUUAAAAAGUCAAAUGCUUUUAGAAAUAAUCAAAUGAAAAGACGAAACCAAAGUUUUUUUAAAGUUGCACUUUUAUACAACUGCACAAAUACAGAAGACAAAAUGUUUUAUAGUUAAGGCAAUAUUCGUAUAAACUAUAUUUGGCGCCUAAGACUUCAGCACAGUACAUUCUCACCAGUCUGCAACCCUUUAGUUCACUCAUCCUCCAGUGCUUGUUUCCCCCCCAAAACAAUCUCCACUUAGGAAGCCGAGUAAAGGAACAUUACCUUAAUGCAACUCUAAACCAUUAUUCAGCCAGAGGUAGACAACACUGAAGGAACUGAUAGUCUCUGACUGUGUGAAUCCUGCAGUGAAACCUAAGCUGUCCCUGUUUGCCAGCCUGAAAGAAGGAUUAAAGGGAAGGGAAGGAAUAUAGAGAAAUACAAUAUCACUAUCCACUGGACUAGUGUAAUGUUCUCACGCAAGGAGUCUGACACCCUCUCUGAGAGGGGGGGAGGAGAGAGGGAGAUAGAGGGGGGAGGAGGAAGAAAGGGAGAUGGAGAGAGAAAGUGGCCUCUUCAAACUAGUCGCUGUGGCAUUUUCUGGAGGGAAGGAGGUUAUGAAAGCUGGGCUCGGGGAGUGAAACUCUAGUUAUGGUCUCUUUCUGUAGUCUGGGCCAUGAGAAAAUAUGAUCUUAACCUGACUUAAGUCAAAGUGUAGAUACAUCUUCGUAUGUGUGGUCUGUGAAAAGCUGUAAACUUCUUAUUGGAAUAUCUGAGAUCCAAGUUUCUGGAUCUCUCAUGGUGUUUGCUGCCCCCUGGUGUAAGUCAUGAGUACUGCAGCUAGGCUAUGUCUCCACCUUGUGGUGCAACACUAAAGGUCUACUGCAGGUCAGAAACAGUUGAGUUGUAUUGUAUAUGGUUUGUAUCGUGUAUGGGUGACUAUCAAUAAUCCUUGUUUUUUGAUAGUGUAUAUAGUGCAUAUAUUAUCAACUUUUUUUGAAUUAGUCUUUAGGAUACUCCUUUCAAUCUGAAAUACUCCACCAAUUGGUAUUUAGGAAUGUUUGGUAUUUUGACACAACAGAUGGCUCCCUGUCACCACGUUCCACUUAAACUCGGACUCUGAAAGCAGAUAUCCCACAGAGAUGGCCUCCAGACUGCUGGCGAGCCAGCUACAGCUCAUUCCCCCUGGGUAGAAGGAAGGGAAAGCAGCUUUCGACAUCGUUUCCAAGCCGGGGAGGACAAAUAUCUCAACCCUGCAGUGAAUCCAGAAACCAAAAUCGGAUCCUUAGGCCUGCUGCUCCAAACACCACCAAGGAUUGCUUUCACCACUCCACACCGACUGGAAAACGCCUGCACAUACACACACACACGCACACCGACGUGUCGGAAAAUGCAAAUGCAGGGAUGCGUCAAGCAGGACCACGGCAGAGGAGCAUGUCCAGCCGAGCUGGGAGGUCUGCGGUGUUGAAGGAGGAGAUACAAGGUGGGAGGAAUGCUAACGUGAUGAUGCCCUCUUUGGACUGCUCCUUCAGACGACGGGAAGCCGCCCCAGAU